AAGAAGGGAAAGGCUACACAAGUAAUGGGGGUCAAGUGUAUUAAGAGAAAGCAAAUAAAUUUAGUAUUUUGUCAGCAAAGCAUUGGAAUCCAUCAUUUUUUAGCAUUAAUAGGUAUAGGCUAAAAGAGGCAGUUUCAUUGCGUUUUUCUUUUGUAAAAUAGAAAGGAAGAUAUAAAAUGUACCAAAUUAGUGUGCAUUUAUUCAGCAGAAAUUAGUUGCAGUGGUAGGUAAGAAGAUGAUAAUAAGAAUAUAUUUUCUGAUACACGAAAGCAGCCAUGUUUGAAUAAUUUAUGAAUAUAUAUCUUAAAUAGUGGAUAUACAUGUAUGCUAUCAUGACCAUUGGGUUGCAUGUAUUAUUUCAACAGCAGUCACAGACGAGCAGGGCAUCUACUUCAAUUAGACGAUUUUUGACUUCCGAGUGAUGUCUGACUUAAUUCAGAGUACACCGCUCUCUACGAUGGAUCUAUCUGCUGAUUUCAACCUCGGAGUACGGCUACUCUUUGAGACGAUUAGACGGGUCAUACCUCUGAGCACGGUUAUCUCUUCGUCCAGUACAUCUUCGCAUGAUGACGAUCAUGUCGGAUACCCGUGGACAUUCUGUCGUGAGUCUACGUGCGAUUGCUUAGUCGAGACAUCAGCACAUAGAAACUACAUGAGACUUCCGAAGGACUGUAUACAUUCGUGGAUGUUGAGUAUCGUUUAUAUCUAGAACAGUUUAUUCGCAGAUAUCACAAA